rnacentral:rRNA from 1 species
AGUGAACGCUGGCGGUAGGCCUAACACAUGCAAGUCGAACGGCAGCACAGUAAGAGCUUGCUCUUACGGGUGGCGAGUGGCGGACGGGUGAGGAAUACAUCGGAAUCUACUUUUUCGUGGGGGAUAACGUAGGGAAACUUACGCUAAUACCGCAUACGACCUACGGGUGAAAGCAGGGGAUCUUCGGACCUUGCGCGAUUGAAUGAGCCGAUGUCGGAUUAGCUAGUUGGCGGGGUAAAGGCCCACCAAGGCGACGAUCCGUAGCUGGUCUGAGAGGAUGAUCAGCCACACUGGAGCUGAGACACGGUCCAGACGCCUACGGGAGGCAGCAGUGGGGAAUAUUGGACAAUGGGCGUAAGCCUGAUCCAGCCAUACCGCGUGGGUGAAGAAGGCCUUCGGGUUGUAAAGCCCUUUUGUUGGGAAAGAAAAGCAGCAGGUUAAGACCCCGCUGUUCUGACGGUACCCAAAGAAUAAGCACCGGCUAACUUCGU